CAAAGUAUGAAGCAAUUGCUGCAUUUGCUAAGGACCUUUUUGGUCUUUGGCUUUGUGUUGUUCUUUACGCUGUUGACCAGGAUCUUUAAACGCUGCCUGGAUGUCAGUCACUCGCUGGCCAUGUGAGGGGAGUAGGAGCAGGAGGAGGAGGAGCACCCCAGAACAGGUGAAACAGGAAUGUGUGUGCUUGUGUGAGUUACCGGGAACUUAUCGGCUGGACAAUCAAUAAUGCCCGUUGCCUUAUCGCCCUCGCACUAUUUUCUCUAAAUGGAAGUGAGACCUAUGAGUACAGUGGAGAUUGUAUGACAAGAGAAACCAUAACUACAAGCUACAAUUUAUGUUAAGAGUUCAAACUAAAAAGAACUCUAAACAACAACUCACACAACUCUUGAAUAAAAGUAAGAAAUACAACAGAAAAAUGGUA